rnacentral:rRNA from 1 species
CAAACCAAAGCUGGCGACCGGCGCACGGGUGAGUAACACGUAUCCAACCUGCCUCAUACUCGGGGAUAGCCUUUCGAAAGAAAGAUUAAUAUCCGAUAGCAUAUAUUUCCCGCAUGGGUUUUAUAUUAAAGAAAUUCGGUAUGAGAUGGGGAUGCGUUCCAUUAGUUUGUUGGGGGGGUAACGGCCCACCAAGACUACGAUGGAUAGGGGUUCUGAGAGGAAGGUCCCCCACAUUGGAACUGAGACACGGUCCAA